UGAUAGACCUGAUAGUAACGGCAUCCUUUAUGUCCUUUCUUUAAGGCCAUAAAGAUAGAGUGAAUAGCAGGAGCGGAA
rfam:Flavobacterium fryxellicola strain DSM 16209 FBFR06, whole genome shotgun sequence.